GACGAACGCUGGCGGCGUGCCUAAUACAUGCAAGUUGAGCGCUGAAGGUUGGUACUUGUACCAACUGGAUGAGCAGCGCACGGGUGAGUAACGCGUGGGGAAUCUGCCUUUGAGCGGGGGACAACAUUUGGAAACGAAUGCUAAUACCGCAUAAAAACUUUAAACACAAGUUUUAAGUUUGAAAGAUGCAAUUGCAUCACUCAAAGAUGAUCCCGCGUUGUAUUAGCUAGUUGGUGAGGUAAAGGCUCACCAAGGCGAUGAUACAUAGCCGACCUGAGAGGGUGAUCGGCCACACUGGGACUGAGACACGGCCCAAACUCCUACGGGAGGCAGCAGUAGGGAAUCUUCGGCAAUGGACGAAAGUCUGACCGAGCAACGCCGCGUGAGUGAAGAAGGUUUUCGGAUCGUAAAACUCUGUUGUUAGGGAAGAACGUGGGUGAGAGUGGAAAGCUCAUCAAGUGACGGUAACUACCCAGAAAGCGACGGCUAACUACGUG
rnacentral:rRNA from 1 species